rnacentral:rRNA from 1 species
GUACGGGAGGCAGCAGUGAGGAAUAUUGGUCAAUGGGCGCGAGCCUGAACCAGCCAUCCCGCGUGCAGGAAGACGGCCCUAUGGGUUGUAAACUGCUUUUGUGCAGGAAGAACGUACAGAUCGUGAUCUGUAGUGACGGUACUGCAUGAAUAAGCACCGGCUAACUCCGUGCCAGCAGCCGCGGUAAUACGGAGGGUGCAAGCGUUAUCCGGAUUUAUUGGGUUUAAAGGGUGCGUAGGCGGUUAAAUAAGUCAGUGGUGAAAAGCUGCAGCUCAACUGUAGUCCUGCCAUUGAAACUGUUUUACUUGAGUAACCAUGAGGUAGGCGGAAUGUGUAGUGUAGCGGUGAAAUGCUUAGAUAUUACACAGAACACCGAUUGCGUAGGCAGCUUACUAGAGGUUCACUGACGCUGAUGCACGAAAGCGUGGGGAUCAAACAGGAUUAGAAACCCCAGUAGUCCU